UCAUUUUUUUAUAUUAAUUUAGAAGAGAGGUUUUACAAAUAUUUUAUCAUACCUAAGUUGCGAUGUACUAGUGUGACUAACCCUACUUAUAAUUUACAUUUGCACACACUGUGUGCACGUCCAAAUUACAAGUAGCUGCAUACAUGUUAACCAUAAAUAGCUUAGCCACCAUUGUUCCAACUUUUCAAGGAAUGAGAGACAUGAUCUUCUCUUGGGACAAAUCUUCCCUUGUAUUUACUUGGACCAAAGACUACCAACAGAUAUUUCCAUCAUAAGUUUUUGAUUUCAUGAGUUCCUGGUCAGAGUAUUUUCUAGCUGUCAGAACGUGUAGGUAAGGUUUGGAGGGUUGCAGCUAAUUCAACUCCCCAUCUUGCAAACACAUACCUGCCAAAUAUUUUUGAAAUCUCACAUAGCUUGCUCGGCGAGGAUUUCCUUUCUUUUCAACCUCAAC
rnacentral:lncRNA from 1 species